rnacentral:lncRNA from 1 species
AGUGCUGUAUUCCUGCCCCUGAGCAGCCCCAUAUGGAGCCAUGGGAGGCAGCUGGCUGUGCAGGGCAAAGCCACCCGUGACAGGAGGGGAUGCUGCAGGCAAGGCCCUGCGCCGGCCCCUGCACCUGAGCGGCCUGAUGGGCCUCACCUGCGCCUCCCACCCACACACCCUCUGCCCAUUGGCCUGGGAGCUUUCAUCACAUCCCACCCCUGGCCCUUUCUCUGUUGGUUGGGGGUGCUUCUCCUCAGCCCUGUCCUGUGGAAGGAUCUCAGACUGAGGAACACUGAUGGACCCCACUCUGGUAAUGUUGUUUGGAUGUUGGGAGCCUGCUCUAGUUGGAGCUGCCCUAACAGCCUUGUUUCCCACUGGUCCCAUUGGAGCCUAAUCCCAGCUCUGCUGCUGCUCUGUGGUCAGUCAGGACCCAGUUCUCCGGAUGGCUGUGUGUGUUUGGGAUGCCUCCUGCAGCUCAUGGGCUGCUUUAUCUCUCCAUCAGCAAAGAACAGAUGCUCUCGGAGCACCGGGAAAGCCAAAGGAAAAAUGAGUGAGUGACAGGAAGCGAGGAGAACGGGAGGCAGGAGAAAUGCUUUUCCUUUUUUUCUUCACUUUCCCUUUCUUAGCCUCCCUGUGCUCUGCCUGCUCCCAUCAAAGCCGCUGAAAAUUGUUACCGACAGAUCGAGUGUCUUCCAGUUUCUGUGUCAGGGAGUUUUGCCGAUUCUCUGAACCAUGCAAAAGAGGGGUCAGGCAAGAGAAGGA